AGGAAACCAAACUCUUGAUUAUUAUGGCCUCUCUGAGUCUUCUGUACUGAAUAAGUCAAAACUUUCAACAACGGAUCUCUUGGUUCUGGCAUCGAUGAAGAACGCAGCGAAAUGCGAUAAGUAAUGUGAAUUGCAGAAUUCAGUGAAUCAUCGAAUCUUUGAACGCACAUUGCGCCCGCCAGUAUUCUGGCGGGCAUGCCUGUUCGAGCGUCAUUUCAACCAUCAAGCCCCCGGCUUGUGUUGGGGACCUGCGGCUGCCGCAGGCCCUGAAAACCAGUGGCGGGCUCGCUGUCACACCGAGCGUAGUAGAUUUUCAUCUCGCUCAGGGCGUGCUGCGGGUUCCGGCCGUAAAAAGCCUUAUUUACCCAAGGUUGACCUCGGAUCAGGUAGGAAGACCCGCUGAACUUAAGCAUAUCAAUAAGCGGAGGAA
rnacentral:rRNA from 1 species